rnacentral:rRNA from 1 species
CCUACGGGUGGCAGCAGUAGGGAAUCUUUCACAAUGGGCGAAAGCCUGAUCGAGCAACGCCGCGUGAAGGAUGAAGGCCUUCGGGUUGUAACCUGCUUUUAUAAGCGAGAAAUAUGAUGGUAACUUAUGAAUAAGGAUCUGCUAACUACGUGCCAGCAGCCGCUGUCAUACGUAGGAUCCGAGCAUUAUCAGGAGUGACUGGGUGUAAAGAGUUGCGUAUGUGGCAUAAUAAGUAGCUAGUGAAAUCUGGUGGCUCAAACAUUCAGCGUAUUAGCUAAACUGUUAAGCUCGAGACCGUUAGGGGUAACUGGAAUUUGUAGUGUAGGAGUGAAAUCCAUAGAUAUUAGAAGGAACACCAAUAGCGUAGGCAGGUUGCUGGGACGGUUCUGACACUAAGGCACGAAAGCGUAGGGAGCAAACGGGAUUAGAUACCCCAGUAGUC